ensembl:lncRNA novel transcript
ACAGCUUGGUUGUUCUCCCAUGGGCAGGACCAGUGCUACCCGGCCUUCCUGCACUCCAUUGGAGAACAGGAGUGGUACAGAGCCACUGCGAUGCUGAGUCCACAGUGGCAACAGACACCAACUGGCAUCUCCAUGAAAAGUCACAACUGACCGCCUGGCUGCCAAGAUCUUUGAGUUUGAGGUCUGGCCCUACAAUGAAGGUGCUGUCACUCUGAGUAUCAGUUGUCAACUCUGGCAAAAUACAGGGGAGCUGUCAGCUAACAGGAAAUAUGGACAUUGGGGCUGUCUGGGCACCCCAGUUUGCUCCUGUAGAGUGUGGAAUACACUGGCACUGUAAUAUUAGAAUGGAAAGAACUUCUGGAAGGCAUUUAGACCAGAGGUCACAAUUUUUUUUAAAUUUUUUUAUUUUUUUCUGUAAGAGGACAGAUAGUAAAUAUUUUUGGUUUGUGGGGAUAUAAGUUUCUGUUGCAAUGAUUCAACCCUGCGUUGUAGUGCAAAAGCACUCACAGACAAUAUGCCAGCAGAUGGGCCUGGCAAGGUUCCAGUGAAACUUUAUUUAGGGAUGCUUACGUAUAAAUUUCAUGUAAUUUUCGACCCAUGAGAUAUUCUCCUUUUGAUUCAUUUCCCCCAUAUUUAUUGACGUACAGUUGAAAAACAAAAAUUUUAUGUACUUAAGAUGUCUGACCUGAUGUUUUGAUAUAUACAUCAAGCUAAUUAACAUAUCCAUCACUUUACAGUUACCAUUGUUUUUUCAUCUUCUUUCUCUUGGUGGUGAGAACACUUUGAAUCCACCC